CCCAAUCUCUCCCAAUUUUUGUCAGCCCCAAGCCCUAAAUUUUCAAUUCUCGUCAAUCGACGCUCAAUUAGCUUCUGCCUCCGUCUUUUUUCCCCAAUCUACGCCAUACAGCCUCACAAGGGUUCAUUUGUGUAGAGCGAGCUAAUCGCUGUUAGAUCUUUGUUUGGCUGUUCGAGGAAUCGAGAAUGUCUCGUGGUAAUCAAAGAGAUCGUGACCGAGAAAGGGCUCAAGCCAGAUCCGGCACCAAGCCCCGUAAUCCAAGAGACGAUGGAUUGACCCCCGAACAGAGACGAGAGAGGGAUGCAAAGGCGCUGCAAGAAAAAACUGCGAAAAAAGCAGCACAAGCUGUGGUUGAUGGGAAAAAAAACGCCGGAGGUGAUAAAGUUAACAAGAAAAAAUAAUUGUGGAUGAUUUAAUUAUAGGUUAGAUUGAGGGGUGUUGUUCUAUUGAUAUAUCAGAUUUCGGUUUGUGAGUUUUGAGGUUGUCUUUAUUUUUUCGUGGUGGCAAAUAAUCUUUCGAGAAUCGAUUGUUUGGUAUAUAGAUCUAUCUUCCGAAACCUGUAUCUUGUAUCUGAUUUUUCAAUGCAAUGCAAUCUUCUUUUCACUAUUUACAA